AGAGAGGCCUCCGAGUAGGCCUCCCUGAAGCCUGAACUCGGCAGGCCCCAGCAAGCCAGGAAGGAGGCUGGCAGAGCUCCCUGUAGCAGACCCUCCCUGCAGCAGACCAGACCAUCCAGCACAGCUUUUGCAGAAAAGAACCAAGCCAGCCAAGGAGCGAUGUCCCUUCGAAGACAACGCAGUGACAGUUGGAAAGGAACUGCUCAGGAAGACACAGAUUUAUGAUGCUAGAAGACCUCUCUUCUCUAGCUAAAACUAAUUCAUUUAUAGUGGAAAGAUGUACAGAGGGUAUCCUUUAAGUGGGUUGUCAAGUCCACUUGCUCCCAGGAGGCAGGACCAAAUGAUCUAAUCCUGAAGAGCCGCUUAUUUCUUCUAUGGAGUCUCCUCCCAGUUCCGGCACUGUCUGGCGAACAAUUGAAGGAAGGAAAGGUCCAUGAAUGGCAAGGAAGGAAAAGAAAAGCCAAGAAGAACAAAGUAUGGCAGCUAGAACAAACAGCAACAACUGUUUUGGCUUUUAAAUUGUUUUAAGUUUUGUGUAUCUUUUAACUUUUUAAUGUUAUUGUUAACCGCCCAGAGACAAAAAUUUGAGGCGGUGUACAGAUUUGCUAAAUAAAAAUGAAUACAAUAGAGAAUAAAAGGCAA